CUGCCCACCGUUACCUAGCUACUCCCGCCCUUGUCGGGUUACUUGGUUACUCCCGCCUUAAGAACUUCCGUAUUUCCCUGCGCCCUAUAUAUUCGCAACACUCCCCGCCAAUAAAAGAGGCUUGAUCAGAAUCCUGUUUGCCUCCAUUCUUCGUGUCUCUUGUCCCUUUAUAAUCCCCACUCCCCCUCUAGGGUCCUCGUUGACUAUACCCGCGGGUCGGGUCACGUCUGUGCUCUCCCAGCAGACCUUUCCACAGUAAGCAGUGCUGUAACCGUGCUGGUCCUGGCUGGUGAGCAGGGGCCGGGUUUUGGAUCUUUUUAUCUCUAGAGCCUACCAAGACUUUAUUGAGAAUAUUUCUAAAGUAUAAUCAUUACAUACGUUUGCUGUGGAAUUCUCACAGAUGCCCUUCCAUACAUAUUGGAUGACAAGACCUUUGUGAGCACCAGUACUUGGGAGGCUGAAGCAGGAGGAGCGCUGUGAAUUUGAGGCCAGCCUAGGCUACAAAGUGAGUUCCAGGCCAGCCUGGAUUACAUAGUGAGACCCUGUCUCAAAAAAUAAAUAAAUAGCUCACGCAGGACUCAAACUUCCUGAGUGGCUGGAAUUACACACAUGUGCUACCAUGCUCAGCGAUUUGGUCAUUUUUGAGCAGAUAAGUUUGUUGCUGUAUUGAGUACAUACAAAUACAAAUGUUUUAAAUACAUUUUCCUUAAAUUAUUGUUUAGUUGACGAUUAUAAUAAUUUUCAAGUAAAC